AAACAUGUAACUCAAAGGAUAGAGUAUCAUAAUCCGAUUUUGAAAGUUAAAGGUUCAAAUCCUUUCAUGUUUA
rnacentral:tRNA from 1 species